AUUGAACGCUGGCGGCAGGCCUAACACAUGCAAGUCGAGCGGAUGAAGGGAGCUUGCUCCUGGAUUCAGCGGCGGACGGGUGAGUAAUGCCUAGGAAUCUGCCUGGUAGUGGGGGAUAACGUCCGGAAACGGGCGCUAAUACCGCAUACGUCCUGAGGGAGCAAGUGGGGGAUCUUCGGACCUCACGCUAUCAGAUGAGCCUAGGUCGGAUUAGCUAGUUGGUGGGGUAAAGGCCCACCAAGGCGACGAUCCGUAACUGGUCUGAGAGGAUGAUCAGUCACACUGGAACUGAGACACGGUCCAGACUCCUACGGGAGGCAGCAGUGGGGAAUAUUGGACAAUGGGCGAAAGCCCGAUCCAGCCAUGCCGCGUGUGUGAAGAAGGUCUUCGGAUUGUAAAGCACUUUAAGUUGGGAGGAAGGGCAGUAAGUUAAUACCUUGCUGUUUUGACGUUACCAACAGAAUAAGCACCGGCUAACUUCGUG
rnacentral:rRNA from 1 species